GAUGAACGCUGGCGGCGUGCCUAAUACAUGCAAGUCGAGCGAACAGACGAGGAGCUUGCUCCUCUGACGUUAGCGGCGGACGGGUGAGUAACACGUGGAUAACCUACCUAUAAGACUGGGAUAACUUCGGGAAACCGGAGCUAAUACCGGAUAAUAUAUUGAACCGCAUGGUUCAAUAGUGAAAGACGGUUUUGCUGUCACUUAUAGAUGGAUCCGCGCCGCAUUAGCUAGUUGGUAAGGUAACGGCUUACCAAGGCAACGAUGCGUAGCCGACCUGAGCGGGAGGUCGGCCACACUGGAACUGAGACACGGUCCAGACUCCUACGGGAGGCAGCAGUAGGGAAUCUUCCGCAAUGGGCGAAAGCCUGACGGAGCAACGCCGCGUGAGUGAUGAAGGUCUUCGGAUCGUAAAGCUCUGUUAUUAGGGAAGAACAAAUGUGUAAGUAACUAUGCACGUCUUGACGGUACCUAAUCAGAAAGCCACGGCUAACUACGUG
rnacentral:rRNA from 1 species